GGGAGGCAGCAGUAAGGAAUAUUGGUCAAUGGGGGCAAGCCUGAACCAGCCAUGCCGCGUGCAGGAAGACGGCCCUACGGGUUGUAAACUGCUUUUGUACCGGAAUAAACCCUUUUACGUGUAAGAGGCUGAAUGUACGGUAAGAAUAAGGAUCGGCUAACUCCGUGCCAGCAGCCGCGGUAAUACGGAGGAUCCAAGCGUUAUCCGGAUUUAUUGGGUUUAAAGGGUGCGUAGGCGGCUUUUUAAGUCAGGGGUGAAAGACGGUAGCUUAACUAUCGCAGUGCCUUUGAUACUGAAGAGCUUGAAUGAACCUGAGGUAGGCGGAAUGUGACAAGUAGCGGUGAAAUGCAUAGAUAUGUCACAGAACACCAAUUGCGAAGGCAGCUUACUAAAGUUUAAUUGACGCUGAGGCACGAAAGCGUGGGGAUCAAACAGGAUUAGAUACCCUGGUAGUCCACGCCCUAAACGAUGAACACUCGAUGUUGGCGAUAUACAGUCAGCGUC
rnacentral:rRNA from 1 species